rnacentral:rRNA from 1 species
AACGAACGCUGGCGGCAUGCCUAACACAUGCAAGUCGAACGAGACCUUCGGGUCUAGUGGCGCACGGGUGCGUAACGCGUGGGAAUCUGCCCUUGGGUUCGGAAUAACAGUUGGAAACGACUGCUAAUACCGGAUGAUGACGUAAGUCCAAAGAUUUAUCGCCCAAGGAUGAGCCCGCGUAGGAUUAGCUAGUUGGUGAGGUAAAGGCUCACCAAGGCGACGAUCCUUAGCUGGUCUGAGAGGAUGAUCAGCCACACUGGGACUGAGACACGGCCCAGACUCCUACGGGAGGCAGCAGUGGGGAAUAUUGGACAAUGGGCGAAAGCCUGAUCCAGCAAUGCCGCGUGAGUGAUGAAGGCCUUAGGGUUGUAAAGCUCUUUUACCCGGGAUGAUAAUGACAGUACCGGGAGAAUAAGCUCCGGCUAACUCCAUG